rnacentral:misc_RNA from 1 species
GAUGAAGAACGUAGCGAAAUGCGAUAAGUAAUGUGAAUUGCAGAAUUCAGUGAAUCAUCGAAUCUUUGAACGCACAUUGCGCCCCUUGGUAUUCCGGGGGGCAUGCCUGUUCGAGCGUCAUUUCAACCCUCAAGCUCUGCUUGGUAUUGGGCUCCGUCCUCCUCGGACGCGCCUCAAAGACCUCGGCGGUGGCGUCUUGCCUCAAGCGUAGUAGAAACACCUCGCUUUGGAGUGCAUGGCGUCGACCGCCGGACGAAACCGUUUGUAUUUUCUCAAAGGUUGACCUCGGAUCAGGUAGGGAUACCCGCUGAACUUAAGCAUAUCAAUAAGCGGAGGA